rnacentral:rRNA from 1 species
GUGGGGAAUUUUGGACAAUGGGCGCAAGCCUGAUCCAGCAAUGCCGCGUGCAGGAAGAAGGCCUUCGGGUUGUAAACUGCUUUUGUACGGAACGAAACGGUCCUGGCUAAUACCCGGGGCUAAUGACGGUACCGUAAGAAUAAGCACCGGCUAACUACGUGCCAGCAGCCGCGGUAAUACGUAGGGUGCGAGCGUUAAUCGGAAUUACUGGGCGUAAAGCGUGCGCAGGCGGUGCUGUAAGACAGGCGUGAAAUCCCCGGGCUCAACCUGGGAAUUGCGCUUGUGACUGCAGUGCUGGAGUGCGGCAGAGGGGGAUGGAAUUCCGCGUGUAGCAGUGAAAUGCGUAGAUAUGCGGAGGAACACCGAUGGCGAAGGCAAUCCCCUGGGCCUGCACUGACGCUCAUGCACGAAAGCGUGGGGAGCAAACAGGAUUAGAAACCCCUGUAGUCC